CGCUGGCGGCGUGCUUAACACAUGCAAGUCGAACGAUGAAAGCGGGAGCUUGCUCCUGCUGGAUUAGUGGCGAACGGGCGAGUAACACGUGAGCAAUCUGCCCCGAACUCUGGGAUAAGCGUUGGAAACGACGUCUAAUACCGGAUACGACGCGCGAAGGCAUCUUCUGCGCGUGGAAAGAAUUUCGGUUCGGGAUGAGCUCGCGGCCUAUCAGCUAGUUGGUGAGGUAAUGGGCUCACCAAGGCGACGACGGGUAGCCGGCCUGAGAGGGUGACCGGCCACACUGGGACUGAGACACGGCCCAGACUCCUACGGGAGGCAGCAGUGGGGAAUAUUGCACAAUGGGCGCAAGCCUGAUGCAGCAACGCCGCGUGAGGGACGACGGCCUUCGGGUUGUAAACCUCUUUUAGUAGGGAAGAAGCGAAAGUGACGGUACCUGCAGAAAAAGCACCGGCUAACUACGUG
rnacentral:rRNA from 1 species